CCCCCGAAAAGCCGAGAUCGGGAGCUCCGAGCUCCCCCAGAGCUGCUUCCCACGCCGUGGCCAACGACGACGGCAGAAACCUGGGAACCUGCUCAGCAGGUCGGAACAGACAGGGGGCUGGUUCCAAGACGCCCGACAAGGAGCUUAAGUGACACCGUCCCCACUGCCACCGUAUAUAGAAGCUGAUGGACUGACCAAGAAAUGAGCCCCACGGGUUCCUGGCCUCCCUCGCUGGAUCCUCUCUCCACGUCAAGGCCUCCUCGUUACCUGGCCAGGAGUCCCCAAAGGGCACCAGCCCAACACUCCACGGUCAUUUUACCCUCUUAUCCCACGGUCAUGGAACAAGACCACAUGUCUGGACUUUGCAAGGUCAAGCUCGAUUUCAAAUACUCUGCCCCUGUAUCCCUGUAAGUUUAUUCUUACCUGUAAGCCCCUGGGUUUCCAUUCCGGAUGCACACAAUAUAACCACCAAGUGACACAAGACCUUCCUGGCCAAUGUGGGAUAGCCAGAGGACGGGGGCAGGCUCUGAACUCCCUGAAAACUGAGUGACGAGGAGCCACCAGCUCACUGUCAGACUGGGGCAAAAAAAAAAAAAAGUAAAUACUGAGCUAAACGUGAGGAAAGAAAAAAAAAAAAAAUAUAUAUAUAUAUAGGUUACAAUUUGCAGCAGGACCCUUUUGUCUGGCCGGAGGCAGGAAGCGGGGUUCAAAGGCAAUAAGGGAGGGUCACUUUGCUGAGACCGUGCUCUCCACACCCCACACCCCCAACUCUGUCACAAUCUUAUUCAUCUUUCAAAGCUGCCCUCACAGGCCACGUCUCCCGUGGGGCUUUCUCAGCGCCUCCCACCCAAAACGAAUCUCCCUCUGUCCUUCCCCAGCCUCUGCUGGUCCCUUUAUUAUAGCCUGUGCGCCCAUAAUUUGUGCACAUCUUAUCUCCUUGACUAAAUGUAAGCUUCGGUUUCAA